GAUGAACGCUGGCGGCGUGCCUAAUACAUGCAAGUCGAGCGAACGGACGAGAAGCUUGCUUUUCUGAUGUUAGCGGCGGACGGGUGAGUAACACGUGGAUAACCUACCUAUAAGACUGGGAUAACUUCGGGAAACCGGAGCUAAUACCGGAUAAUAUUUUGAACCGCAUGGUUCAAAAGUGAAAGACGGUCUUGCUGUCACUUAUAGAUGGAUCCGCGCUGCAUUAGCUAGUUGGUAAGGUAACGGCUUACCAAGGCAACGAUGCAUAGCCGACCUGAGAGGGUGAUCGGCAACACUGGAACUGAGACACGGUCCAGACUCCUACGGGAGGCAGCAGUAGGGAAUCUUCCGCAAUGGGCGAAAGCCUGACGGAGCAACGCCGCGUGAGUGAUGAAGGUCUUCGGAUCGUAAAACUCUGUUAUUAGGGAAGAACAUAUGUGUAAGUAACUGUGCACAUCUUGACGGUACCUAAUCAGAAGGCCACGGCUAACUACGUG
rnacentral:rRNA from 1 species